UACGUAGGGUCCGAGCGUUGUCCGGAAUUACUGGGCGUAAAGAGCUCGUAGGUGGUUUGUCGCGUUGUUCGUGAAAACUCACAGCUCAACUGUGGGCGUGCGGGCGAUACGGGCAGACUAGAGUACUGCAGGGGAGACUGGAAUUCAUGGUGUAGCAGUGAAAUGCGUAGAGAUCAUGAGGAAGACCAGUGGCGAAGGCGGGUCUCUGGACAGUUCCUGACACUGAGGCACGAAGGCCAGGGGAGCAAACGGG
rnacentral:rRNA from 1 species